UUCAGUGCUGCCCUUAACAAGCAGCGUGCACUUUUCUCUUAGUAAGACGUCGUGAUCCAUUAGAAAUUGAUGCAUACCGAAUGUAUAUUGGGUCAUCAAUAGGCCGGCGCGAAGUUUGUGCGGAACAAAUGGCAUGAUCUUUCACGUCCGUGUGUAUUGUCUGCUGAGCGUGUCGUGUCCUGUAAUGACUGUCUGAUGGAUUUUAGAGACGAUAUUACUGAUGCUCCGGCAUCACUCGCCUCGGCGAGCGCAAAUAUCUGUCCGAUCGACGACGGUUAAAUUUGGGAUACCUUUUGGACCCGUCUUGAAACACGGACCAAGGAGUCUAUCUAGUAUGCGAGUAAAUGGAUAGUUAUGAAAUCUAUUUGCAAAACAAACAUGACUGUUUUAAUGGGAUUACGAGAUUUCGCACUUGUGCGUAUCACUUCCAUCCCGGGGUAUUUUUGUCAACAUAUGCGCAAGCAUAUGGAAAAUAUACCAUGAGCACACUGGAUACGACCCGAAAGAUGGUGAACUAUGCCUGAUCAGGUCGAAGUCAGGGGAAACCCUGAUGGAGGACCGAAGCAGUUCUGACGUGCAAAUCG
rnacentral:rRNA from 1 species